UACGGAGGAUCCAAGCGUUAUCCGGAUUUAUUGGGUUUAAAGGGUGCGUAGGCGGCCAAUUAAGUCAGGGGUGAAAGACGGUAGCUUAACUAUCGCAGUGCCUUUGAUACUGAUUGGCUUGAAUGUACUUGAGGUAGGCGGAAUGUGACAAGUAGCGGUGAAAUGCAUAGAUAUGUCACAGAACACCAAUUGCGAAGGCAGCUUACUAAAGUAUGAUUGACGCUGAGGCACGAAAGCGUGGGGGAUCAAACAGG
rnacentral:rRNA from 1 species